GUUCCUACGGAGCGCAGCAGUAGGGAAUCUUCCACAAUGGGCGAAAGCCUGAUGGAGCAACGCCGCGUGGGUGAAGAAGGUCUUCGGAUCGUAAAACCCUGUUGUUAGAGAAGAAAGUGCGUGAGAGUAACUGUUCACGUCUCGACGGUAUCUAACCAGAAAGCCACGGCUAACUACGUGCCAGCAGCCGCGGUAAUACGUAGGUGGCAAGCGUUAUCCGGAUUUAUUGGGCGUACAGGGAACGCAGGCGGUCUUUUAAGUCUGAUGUGACAGCCUUCGGGUUAAACGGAGUAGUGCAUUGGAAA
rnacentral:rRNA from 1 species